rfam:Triticum aestivum genome assembly, contig: Triticum_aestivum_CS42_TGACv1_scaffold_503278_6BL
UUAAUACUCCCUCCGUCCCAAAAUUCUUGUCUUACAUUUGUCUAAAUACGGAUGUAUCAAGUCACGUUUUAGUAUUAGAUACAUCCGUACCUAGACAAGUCUAAGACAAGAAUAUUGGGACGGAGGGAGUACAUU